GGCAUUUGGUAGAGACUGUUGAGGCCACCUGGUCCCAGCCGACCCCAGAGAACUGCCACAUUUGCUGGUACUGGAAUAAGGUCGUUAAGGGUGAAGCCUGGUGCCAGAUGUGU
ensembl:rRNA 5S_rRNA 5S ribosomal RNA